rnacentral:lncRNA from 1 species
UAAAAUUUAAAUAUUAUAUUAAUAAUAUAAAUAAAAUUAUGAAGUGGUAUCAUAGUGUGUGUGAAUGUAAGGUUGCAUGACUGGAGCUUCCUGUAAAUAACUGGGGGAGGAUGGAAGUCUACAGUACACACACCCCAAACAGUGUGCAUUCCAAAUAUCCAAUACAAACCGCAAACAAUUUAUAAAACCCUGAAUAACUCAAAACUUAAAAGUGGGAAGCAAAACAAACGAUGCACUCGAGAAACCAUGUUAUACUGGUGAUGUGAGACCGCACCUGUUCUAUUACUGACCUGCUUUAGCGCAACAGAAGUUCUAAAUCUCCACUAAGUUUUGUUCCUAUGAAGAUUAUGCAAAUUAUAUAUCAUAUAAAUAUAAAAGUGCGCCAAUAGCCCUGAACAUAUAUUCCAACAAUUUGAGAAAUAAAUAUAUAUAUUACAUGUAUCUCAUGUGGAUUAUGUCAAGUUGUCAACAGGUUAAGUCACGGAAAAAAGUUAAAUAUUUAUAAAUGCAGCAUCAAACUGAGAAAGAGAGAAGGGAAAUCCAUUUGACAGAUAUCCAAAUAUUCAAAAAAAACGAAAGCAAUUUUAGCUAGUCUUCCUGGCAAUCGGCUUACCCUAUGGCAGAUCACUGGUUCUUACAAGGUGCAGAAACACUUGGUUGAGACGGCAAGUAUAACUGUAUAAGUGUAUAAUCACUUGUAAUCCACUUGCACACACAACUGACAUAACAAAUACAAAAUUUACAUACCGUUGUCAUCGAAGGCUCAACUCUCCGAUUCCCCUCCCUACCUUAGAAACUUCUACUGUUUAUGGGCUCCAGUCUCGUUGGUCGCUGCCUCAGAAACACCUGGUUGAGGCGGCAAAUCAGUAUAAUCACUUGUAAUCCACUUGUACACAAUUGACAUAACAAAAUUCCAAAUUACAUACCUAUGCAAUCGUCGAAGGCUCAGCUCUUCGAUUCCCCUACUUUGGAAUUUCGACUGUUUAUGGGCUCUACUCUCGCUGUCUGAUUUAUGGGCUACUACAAAAUACAUGUGAACAUCUGGAGGCUGGAAUCAAAUCAUGAGUUAGACAACACUUUUAUCAUUAAAAGAGAUAUAAGAACUGGAGGAUAUCCAAAGGUGCAGAAUACUUAUGCUAGAAGAUCUAGUUAUUUUGAGCAAAGACAUCCAUUUUACAUAUAUUACAGUAUAUGAAUCACCGGUGUGCUCGUCUUGGCUACGUUUGUCACAUCAUAUGGAUGAUAGUACCAAAGCUGUAAGUUAUCGUCCAACUUAUAAAAGUAUCAAGCUUAAUUCGAUAUUUCACAAUGACCAUAGAGAUUAAGUUUUACCAAGUAAAAUUAAAUUCCUGAAAGUAAAGGUUCUCAACAAUUGUAUUAACUCUACUUAAGCCUACAUACUGAUUUUGAUUAAUGAUUCAGAAUAAACGGAAUCCAGGAACCUAUAUCUCGUAUAUUCAUUUCUAGAAACAAAUGAAGAGGCAAAAGAUAUUUGGAUGAUCAUCAAAGAAAUAGAUAAAAUAAAAUUUUGAAAUCAGGUCCCAUUAAGCGAGCAAGUUUACUAAAAUGUAUUACGAAACCAAUAUAGCAACAAUUUUAAAGCAUUUACUUAAUUUUAUAUUCUACUUUAAGUAGAACUCACCAAACUUAUAAUAACGGGGACAAGCAAGCGGAAAAAUUUACCUUAAUGGAGACCACCAUCCGGAAUAAGACAAUUAUGAUCUGCCUCAGAUAUAAGAUCCUGCAUUAGAGAAGUUCUCAUAUUUUUUUAAAUCUCACAACAUACGAAAUCGUGAUUUAAUUGAUUAUAAUUUGAUUAAAAAAUAGCAUUGAAAUAGACAUAUUUGAUUAAAAUAUCAUAUCAUGUCACAUUACCAAUAAAUAUCAUUUUCUUAUUACAUCUACCUUAUUAUUUCCAGUCAAAUCCUUCUUCCUCUGUCCCAUGCUAAACACACAGCCACCACAUCUUUAGUCGUCCUCUUCCACUUCUUUUAUACAUGUAACAUGAUAGCCAUUGUGAAGGAAAAAUUAUGGCCGUUUUAUCAGAAGUAUGCUGGGUUAUGCUUGGAGACUCAAGGAUUUCCUCAGUGAAUCAGCCGAAUUCCCCUUCACAAAUUGCAAGUCCAGGUGAGACCUAUAAGCACAUUCUGGUCUAUAGGUUCAUAGCAAAGUAGAAUGAAGCAUCUGGCUAUUAUAAAAUUUAAAUAUUAUAUUAAUAAUAUAAAUAAAAUUAUGAAGUGGUAUCAUAGUGUGUGUGAAUGUAAGGUUGCAUGACUGGAGCUUCCUGUAAAUAACUGGGGGAGGAUGGAAGUCUACAGUACACACACCCCAAACAGUGUGCAUUCCAAAUAUCCAAUACAAACCGCAAACAAUUUAUAAAACCCUGAAUAACUCAAAACUUAAAAGUGGGAAGCAAAACAAACGAUGCACUCGAGAAACCAUGUUAUACUGGUGAUGUGAGACCGCACCU